rnacentral:rRNA from 1 species
AGUUGUAGAAUCACUGGUGAAUAAGGGGUGGGCAAGUUCUGGUGUCAGCCGCCGCGGUAAAACCAGCACCUCGAGUGGUCAGGAGGUUUAUUGGGCCUAAGGCAUCCGUAGCCGGUUGCAUAAGUUUUCGGUUAAAUCUAUGCGCUUAACGUAUAGGCCGCCGAAAAUACUGUGCAGCUAGGGAGUGGGAGAGGUACACGGUACUCGAUAGGAAGGGGUAAAAUCCUUUGAUCUAUUGAUGACCACCUGUGGCGAAGGCGGUGUACCAGAACACGUUCGACGGUGAGGGAUGAAAGCUGGGGGAGCAAACCGGAUUAGAUACCCGGGUAGUCCCAGCUGUAAACGAUGCAGACUCGGUGAUGCAUUGGCUUGUGGCCAAUGCAGUGCCGCAGGGAAGCCGUUAAGUCUGCCGCCUGGGAAGUACGUACGCAAGUAUGAAACUUAAAGGAAUUGGCGGGGGAGCACCACAAGGGGUGAAGCCUGCGGUUCAAUUGGAGUCAACGCCAGAAAUCUUACCUGGGGAGACAGCAGAAUGAAGGCCAAGCUGAAGACUUUACCAGACACGCUGAGAGGUGGUGCAUGGCCGUCGCCAGCUCGUGCCGUGAGAUGUCCUGUUAAGUCAGGUAACGAGCGAGGCCCCUGCGUCUAGUUGCUACCAUUACUCUCUGGAGCAGUGGAGCGAAUUAGACGGACCGCCACAGUUAAUGUGGAGGAAGGAAGGGGCCACGGCAGGUCAGUAUGCCCCGAAACCCUAGGGCUACACGCGGGCUGCAAUGGUAUUGACAUGUGUUCCGAAUCCGAAAGGAGGAGGCAACCAUCAAACAUAUCUCAGUUAUGACUGAGGGC